rnacentral:misc_RNA from 1 species
GUAGGGGUGGAGCCGGGCUGAUUGGUGACUUUGAGCUUGGCGUCUUUGAAUUUGUCAGCUUCGUCGUCGAGGUCGCCUCUCCAUGGCGCUUUAGAUAGCAAUUCUCUCUUCCCCUUAGCCAUUUUGCAGGUGUUUCUGCGGCUGCUCCGCCUCGCUAUGUGAAUUGCGGACUACCGUCCAAGAAGAGAGUGAAAGAUAAGGAUCGCCCUUGGAGACGUCUUUG